UACGGAGGGUGCAAGCGUUAUCCGGAUUCACUGGGUUUAAAGGGUGCGUAGGUGGGUUGGUAAGUCAGUGGUGAAAUCCCCGAGCUUAACUUGGGAACUGCCAUUGAUACUAUCAAUCUUGAAUACCGUGGAGGUCAGCGGAAUAUGUCAUGUAGCGGUGAAAUGCUUAGAUAUGACAUAGAACACCAAUUGCGAAGGCAGCUGGCUACACGAAUAUUGACACUGAGGCACGAAAAGCGUGGGGGAUCAAAACAGG
rnacentral:rRNA from 1 species